rnacentral:misc_RNA from 1 species
GAAAAGAGACUUGUCAUUGACUACAAGCCUCUCAACCAUUUUCUUCAGGAUGACAAGUUUCCAUUACCAAAACCUGAAGCCCUGUUCACCCAACUCCAUGAGGCCCAUAUCUUCUCAAAAUUCGAUCUUAAAGCCGAAUUUUGGGUUUUGGCAAUUGGGUAUUAACCCCUCUGAUAGACCCAAAAUCGCUUUUUGUAUCCCUACGGCCCAAUAUCAAUGGAUUGUUCUCCCAUUCAGCCUUAAAACAGCCCCAUCUGUUUUCCAGA